CGAUCAAAACCUGGCAAUCACCGCAUUCUAAAGCCUCUUCUAGAGCUUCUCUCUUCUAACCAGGCAGACAGCUCUUUGAGAAACUUGGCAGAUGCAGGUUUUUUGUAUCAAAAGGCUAACGCCCGGUUUAUUGCAAAUUCAGUAUCACCAAUAUCAAAUAAGCUCUAUCAUCUGUCAAUUCCCAGCUUCCACCUUUUGGCUCCUUGCGCUUCUUCAUCUCAUCUUUGCACUUUUGUGAAUUUUCCCGUUUGGAUCGUUGUUUCUUGUGAGUUUUCGUAUCCUUUAUUCGCAUACCGUGUUUCUCUUUUUAAUUUUUUAUGGCAUGUUAGGGCUUUAUUGCACAGAGAGUUUAAUUUGUCCAACGGCUUUGUCUUUAGGUGUUUGAGGCAAUUCCUAAAUGAAUUACGCAUUUUUUUGAUUUCUACUAUUAUUUUGGGUUUAUUUUCUCAAUUGUGAAAUAGUUGGGGAAACCUGCGACUAAAUACUAACAACCGCUUUUGCUUUCAAUUAGACAGUACAGAUUGAACUAAACCAUACAUGCCUUGUGUCUUUUCUUACCAAGAAGAGAAAUUUCAAUAUUAAGUUUGCAAUGAGAUCUUUAAUUGUUUGUUUUUCACACUUGGUCUUCGUGAAUCAGAGUUUGAAGCUUUUAACAUGUGGAUGUACAAUUUAUUUUUUGUUCACAUUGAUAAUCUGUUAAAUCUGUAAAAGCCCAUAUGUUCUUCCUAUGUAGCAAAGACUAGUAUCCCAUGAUGGGAGAGAGAAACACAAGAUAAGAAGAAGCAAGCUCACAGGAAAAUAACAAUCCAAACGAUAAAUUCACCAAAGUUUAAAGCUAACAACAAGAAGAGUAAGGAGAGACAGCGUUGCAGUCGCAGAGGAGAUUGAAGAUUGCGAAACAUUUCAUAUCUUCCUAGAUUGGCAAAAAAAACAUUAAAAUAGGAUGUGUCUCUAUGCUAACCUCUUAACCAUAUUCUUCUAGGAAAAAAUAAUUUACUUCCAAGACUAUAAAAUUGAUAUUUUAAUAGCAAAAAUCCAGUAUAUAAUAAAACAAAAAAUUAAACAGAAAGACGGAGGAAAAGGUAUCAAAGAACUGACACUAUUAAAGUGGGAGCUUACCAAUGAAUUUACUGACCUAUAUCCU
rnacentral:lncRNA from 1 species